GAUGAACGCUGGCGGCGUGCCUAAUACAUGCAAGUCGAGCGAACAGACGAGGAGCUUGCUCCUCUGACGUUAGCGGCGGACGGGUGAGUAACACGUGGAUAACCUACUUAUAAGACUGGGAUAACUUCGGGAAACCGGAGCUAAUACCGGAUAAUAUAUUGAACCGCAUGGUUCAAUAGUGAAAGACGGUUUUGCUGUCACUUAUAGAUGGAUCCGCGCCGCCUUAGCUAGUUGGUAAGGUAACGGCUUACCAAGGCAACGAUGCGUAGCCGACCUGAGAGGAUGAUCAGCCACACUGGAACUGAGACACGGUCCAGACUCCUACGGGAGGCAGCAGUAGGAAAUCUUCCGCAAUGGGCGAAAGCUUGACGGAGCAACGCCGCGUGAGUGAUGAAGGUCUUCGGAUCGUAAAGCUCUGUUAUUAGGGAAGAACAAAUGUGUAAGUAACUAUGCACGUCUUGACGGUACCUAAUCAGAAAGCAACGGCUAACUACGUG
rnacentral:rRNA from 1 species